rnacentral:tRNA from 1 species
GUCCGAGUGGCGGAAUCGGCAGACGCGGUGGUCUCAAAAACCAUUGCCUUCGGGCGUGGGGGUUCAAGUCCCCCCUCGGACA